rnacentral:rRNA from 1 species
UACGAAGGGGGCUAGCGUUGCUCGGAAUCACUGGGCGUAAAGCGCACGUAGGCGGAUUGUUAAGUCAGGGGUGAAAUCCUGGAGCUCAACUCCAGAACUGCCUUUGAUACUGGCGAUCUUGAGUCCGGGAGAGGUGAGUGGAACUGCGAGUGUAGGGGUGAAAUUCGUAGAUAUUCGCAAGAACACCAGUGGCGAAGGCGGCUCACUGGCCCGGUACUGACGCUGAGGCACGAAAGCGUGGGGAGCAAACAGG